GGGUUGGUUGUCUAGCUUGGUAUGAUUCUUGCCUGGGGGGCGAAAGGUCGGGAGUUCAAAUCUUCCCCAACCCACCA
rnacentral:tRNA from 1 species